AUAACGUGGUACUAGUACUAGAAUUUAACAACAAAAAACAUUUAUAUUCAGACACGUAUCAGGUAAAAACUGUUCAGGUAACGUUGGAAACAUUUAUAUUGAAACGCCCAACACGAACAAGCGAAACUCGAAGGUUUAUCUUUUCAAGUUGAGUACUACUUUGGUGAGCGCUACCACCACUAAUCUAAUAGUAAUUCAGUAUAGAAGUUGGCAUUGAAGCUAUUAAGUACCUUAAAUGGGUAGGGUUGCUUCGACCGAAUGCAACAGAGAAGGACCAGAUUACUUUGGGCUUUUUGCAUCUGAGGUGGCGGAGUUAAUUUCUCAGGAUGAAGAUUUUCUGCUAAUUUCGGAUCAGAUAUUUGAGAAAUCUGGGGAAGUAAAUGGUGCUGUCAAAGAAAAGAAUAGUAGUAUGCAUAGCUAUAUAGCCAAAGAGUUUAGAUACACCGAUGGUUCUGCUUCCUUAUUUUCUGAUUGUUUUGGAUCUCAUGUUUCGGAUUUUGGAAAGGAAAGAUUGAAGCUGUUGCUUCGGCAAAGUAUUGUUCCCCUUUCACGGGAAGUGGACGAGAUUCUGGAUCCUGUAUUUUCCGUAUGUCAGUUACGGUCAUGCCUAAGGUACAAAGAAAGUUUAUUAGCUGUACCUGGUACUGUAUCUGACUCUGAUCAAGGGAACCAUCCUCGGAAGAAGCUCAAGGCAUCCCCUCUCUCAGAUUUAGAGAGAGAGGACUUGAAUAUCUCUCCAUCUAGAGGAGAUAUGUUGAAUGGUGUUAAAAAAGUCGAAGCUGAACAGGUAAAAGAAUCCUUUGCAAAAAAGGAGCAAAAGGAGCAAAAGCAAGUGGGUUCAAAUGCUGGAGCAACUCCUGGUGACCUGGAUAUCCCCAAUGAUUUGCAGUUUUUGCUACGAAAUGAUAGCACAAAGGUUGAGAGUGUGAUGAAGAUGCAUUGUGAUGAACUUUUAGUGACGCUUGAGUACAUGGAGGAGAAGCUUGAAGAACUUCUUGAUAUUGUUAUGUCGAAUUGCAGGUUAAUGACUUUACCUGAGAAACGCCGCCUCCGGCAGUUGAUACAAGAACUUCCGCCUAGGAAUCUUGAUCGUGUUGUCGAGAUGUUAUGCCGUGGUAAGCAAGUUGAGAAACAUUCUUGCAGUGAGGUGCAUGUUGACUUAGAAAAUGAGGACAAAGCAACACUUUGGAGAGUGUAUUUCUACGUUGAAACAGUUGAAAAUGCUAAGAGGCUUCGCGAGGUGUAAUUCUAAGUGGUGACAACUGACCAGGCCCUUGAUGAGACUCUGGGUCCUACUAGUUCUAUCAAGAAUCAAGUUUGUCUAUUGUUCACAAGCUGCAGAAAGGCUUAACCAAACUGCCGAUGGUGCAAAUCUUCAAGUUGAAAGAGAUCUCUUGUGGUGAUCGUACAGGCGUCUCAACUGAACAUUUUAGAGGCCAAUGGUUGGUGUAGAUAGAACUCAGCCUUGUGUGCAGACUGCUCGUCUUUGAUGACAAAUAGAAGCAACAUGUACACAACAUAUUCAAUGGCUGUUUAAAUUGCCUGUCAGUUUUGGGCCUUUGGCUACCCAUCAUUUCGGGCAUGUAGAAAAACUAUAUUUGAUGAUUCAGGUAUCAACAAUUGUAAAUUGCCCCAUGGUUUGUUAUGCACCUGGUGGGACGGUCACUAGUUACUGCUUAUCAAUUUGAAGAGGAGGUCUAAUUGAUGAGAGGCCAGUUUCGCACA